rnacentral:ncRNA from 2 species
AAAAGGCAUCCAGAGUUAAGCGACGCGCUUAACGCCAACCUGCCCUUCCCGGCAAGGUGGCGUCCGGAAACGGAGAUGCGGCCGAACCGGCAAUUAACGGGACCAAG